rnacentral:rRNA from 1 species
GAUGAACGCUGGCGGCGUGCUUAACACAUGCAAGUCGAACGAACCUUCGGGUUAGUGGCGGACGGGUGAGUAACGCGUGAGAAUUUGCCCUCAGGAGGGGGAUAACGGCUGGAAACGGCCGCUAAUACCCCAUAUGCCGCGAGGUGAAAUGAAUUUCGCCUGAGGAUGAGCUCGCGUUUGAUUAGCUAGUUGGUGGGGUAAAGGCCUACCAAGGCUUCGAUCAGUAGCUGGUUUGAGAGGAUGAUCAGCCACACUGGGACUGAGACACGGCCCAGACUCCUACGGGAGGCAGCAGUGGGGAAUUUUCCGCAAUGGGCGAAAGCCUGACGGAGCAACGCCGCGUGAGGGAUGAAGGCCUUUGGGCUGUAAACCUCUUUUAUCAAGGAAGAAGAUUUGACGGUACUUGAUGAAUAAGCCCCGGCUAAUUCCGUG